GACAAGAAAUUUGGUGGUGUAACUAGGCCCGUUGAAAUUUGAGCGCGCGCCCACAAAUUGCGUAGGGCUCCCGCUCAACCCGCCAACCUUUGGUGCGUUUGAAUAUCCGUCGACUUCCCUUCUCGUUCAUGUCCUUCAGUACCUUUUUGUUUUCUGUGGAUACACGACCGUUACGUAACAUGCCGAUCACGAGCACCACAGGAAAUUUAUUAGUACGUUAGAUAUGUGCAGUAAUUUUAAUUAUUACUUCUUUAUAAUAAUAAUAAUAUUUUUUGGUGGGUGAUGUUUCUAUAUGCAUAUAUAAAAUUAAUUUUAACUGAAAUUUAAAUUCAUUACGGUCUGAAAAUGACCACUGGCCGGGAUGCUUCCAAGUCACCAUCACCUGACUCGAGAGAGAUCAAUCAAUCAAUCAAUCAUGACGGCGAACCUUGGCCAAGUGUUCGCGGCCGUUGACGGCAGCGAGAAGAGCGUGCAUUUGUGCUUUCAGAUUGGCGCUCGACAAACUCAAGACUUAAGCUCCGAUGCAUGCGCGAGACUCCGAUGAAACACAUGGCUUCUUCACCAUAUUCCACGUCCAAUCUCCGACGUCACUCGCUGCUGGCUGCAAUCUCGGCGCCAUCCCUUUCGAUUGGCCCAGUAAAAUUAUACGCAUUAGAACUACCGCUGCUCAGUUCACUCGAUCAUGAAUUUUUUUUUUGCCUUUAUGGUGGUUUGGAGGUUCCAGCCUUCACUGCGGCGAUCGAGGUGCAUUAGAAGCAGAUACCAAUGCAUUGAGGAUUUACCGCCAAACAAAAUAUCAUAUUAGCUAUCACUUACAAGUGGUUAUGGGGGAUCCAAAGGAGAAGAUUUGUGAAGAAUCUGCGGAUGAUUUGCUUGUGAUGCUUUCGGCCCUAUUAAGAGGAAUAUUAUUGGGAAGUGCCACACAAUUUCCUGUCAUUAUAGUCAAGGUCAAGACUGCUUCGUCGUUAAUGGAAGAGGUAUGCUUAUGAAUUCUCAGUUUGCAUAAAUCAUAAUUGCAGCAUUUCAAGUCUAUAACUUUUCAAUUUGUGCGUCAUCUUUGUCUUAGCAAUGCUUUUAUGUAUAUCUGUUCCAUCUUAUGAUAUAUUUAUUCAAUCUUGGAUGACUCUUGGAAAAUAACCUCCAAGACACGUUGUUUGCUUUGAGUCCAGUGGUGCUUAUACCAUGCAGUCAUGUAUGCUUCAUUAAUUAUAAAAAUGCAACAUAAAUGAUGGAUCUAUGGUGUAAAUACAUUUGGUUUUAUGUGGGUCCCACGAUCCGGUCUAGACAAAAUACUCAAUAUGUAACUGUGUGUCUUCUGUGUGUGUACAUAUAGCUGUACCACUCCUUGUCUCCUCACCUCAUUUGCUGGAGAUGCUUGUGUUAUAUAGGCCUAAUUGACCAAAAUGGCUCAGCCAUGGGCGGCAACUGCCGGUUCGCAUGCAUCCAAUUUGAACUGGCCUUGGUUCCAAACAGUUUCAAGUUCAAAACAGUUCCGGUUAUGGUCCCAUCCUAAUUUGAUUUAAAAAAAAAAAACUGUAUUAAUAUUUACACAUUAUAAUACAUAAAUUUAUAAAAUUUAGAGUUACAAUAUAUCAUUAUUCUAUGUAUAUUAUCAAAAUUAGAGGAACAAAUUAACCAAUAUAAAUAAAAUAAAACAAAUCAAAAAAUUUAAAUCGGGCCAAUUUUGGUCCUGGUUCAAGGAUGGAGGAACUGAAACUGGCCCCCAAGUAUGUGGUUUCCGUUUGGUACAGGAACUGAAUUCGGACUGUGGGCAGGACUAAUCCAAAGCGUAGAACUUUUUAUAAAAAUUUUUUUUGAUAAAAAUUGGUUAUAAUUAUAGCCAACUAGUCUUUUUUUUAUUUUAUUUUUAUGAGAAAGAAAUUUUAUUAAUCAUCAGAAUUUAAAAAAUAAAUUCUAAUUUUUUCUAUCCGGCCCCUCACCCUUUCUCCCCUCAUUAAUCCCACCACCCCCCCCCCCCCCAAAAAAAAAAAAAUCUCUCCGUCUCUCUCUCCCUUUCUCUUAGUAAAGGCCUCCUUAGAACAUCCUAAUCCUAUAAUCAAGUAACAAACUCACCACCCAAGGAUUCAGAAGAAUCAAUAGACAUGAACAUGAUAUUUUCAACUUUGGUCUUGGUGUCCUUAUCAUGUCUGUGAUUGCAGGACCCUUGGCCUUGUAAACCAGCAGCAACGAUAUAUAUGUAUAUAUAAAUAUAUCCAAUUUUUUUACCAGCUGGCUAAAAUUGCCAAAAUUAAGUUGUUAAAAUUGAAAAAGAAAGGCAUAAAUAUUUAGAUUUUUUUGGUCGUUAGGACGUUCAAAAUUUAGUCUCAUCUCUUAUCAUGGGCUUUAUCUUUUGUCUAAUUUUGAUCAAAUCUAGUUGUUUUUAUGGAGUUCUUUUGGAUGCUUGACAAAUGCUGCCCUCUUGAUAUAUACGUAGUCAUUUCAGUUGCCAUCGAAUCUUUGGAAAUGAGUGCUUUCCAUAAUCACUGAUGAGGGCUUCAGAUGUGAUCACAAACAACUUGUAGCCACAAUGUUGCAAAGCUUUCACUUAUAUGUACUGGAUGUAAAGUAGUGU